CAAAGAUGGCGGAAAAGAUGGAGGAGUUAAUUUUAAUUGAUGCUGAGAGUAAUACUGAAUUUAAAAUAAAUAUUUCGGUAGAAGAUGCUGAGAAAGCAAGAAGUAGUUAUUUGUUUCUUUUCGCUGAAGUCACUAUAUGUUAACAGCACUCAAAAUAUCGUUCCAAAAUGAAAGCUGCGUUUGCAU